CCUACGGGAGGCAGCAGUAAGGAAUCUUCCACAAUGGACGAAAGUCUGAUGGAGCAACGCCGCGUGCAGGAUGAAGGCUUUCGGGUCGUAAACUGCUUUUAUAUGGGAAGAUUAUGACGGUACCAUAUGAAUAAGGACCGGCUAACUACGUGCCAGCAGCCGCGGUAAUACGUAGGGUCCAAGCGAUAUCCGGAAUUACUGGGCGUAAAGCGUGUGUAGGUGGAUUAAUAAGUGUGAUGCGAAAUCCGGCGGCUCAACCGUUUGGACUGUGUCGCAUACUGUUAGUCUAGAGGACGGCAGAGGUAAGUGGAAUUACGGGUGUAGCAGUGAAAUGCGUAGAUAUCCGUAGGAACACCAAUGGCGAAGGCAGCUUACUGGGCCACACCUGACACUGAGACACGAAAGCGUGGGGAGCGAACAGGAUUAGAUACCCUGGUAGUCCACGCCGUAAACGAUGCAUACUAUUAGUAUGGGGUAUCGACCCCCUGUGCUGAGAAGCUAACGCGAUAAGUAUGCCGCCUGGGGAGUACGAGCGCAAGCUUAAAACUCAAAGGAAUUGACGGCGNGAGAGNGCGACGACGACGACGAGGAGAGG
rnacentral:rRNA from 1 species